UGGGGAUUUAGUAGUAAUGGUGCAAAAGAAGAGAAAAGAGUGGGUCAGAAUUUUCAUUUAAUUUUGAGCUUUACCUUUCUUGGAGAAAUAAGCUGUCGUUGUUGAAAUUAUUACUCACAUCGCUAAAACAACUGGUUUCCUCGUUGGCGCCAGAAAAGGGGACAGCCCUCGAGCACUCAUCUAAAAAUGGCAGGUAUCGCAGCAACUUUAGUAAUAAGAAAUCUGAGGAACCUGUUACUUUUUUCUUUUCAAAAUCAUACCUUCGUGAGAAAUUUGCUGUUGAUGGGUUGGAAUAAUGGAGGUAGGUGUGGUUGUGGCAGUGGCUUUUGGACUUGCGGUUUGAAUUGGGUUGGAUGAAGACAUAGAACACAGAUUCCUGUUCUUCAGAUCGAGCAUUUGAAGACCCAUGAAUCGUCUCCCUUGUUGCUCAAUGGCUUGCUGAAGAUCCACUGCUUGCUGCUGCUGUUCC
rnacentral:lncRNA from 1 species